rnacentral:rRNA from 1 species
AAACUUAAAGGAAUUGACGGGGCCCGCACAAGCGGUGGAGCAUGUGGUUUAAUUCGACGCAACGCGAAGAACCUUACCAGGGCUUGACAUCCCCUGACCGCGUAUGAAAGUACGUUUUCACCCUCGGGUGACAGGGAGACAGGUGGUGCAUGGUUGUCGUCAGCUCGUGUCGUGAGAUGUUGGGUUAAGUCCCGCAACGAGCGCAACCCCUACGUUUAGUUGCUAACGCGUGAAGGCGAGCACUCUAGACGAACUGCCGUUGACAAAACGGAGGAAGUGGGGAUGACGUCAAAUCAUCAUGCCCCUUAUGUUCUGGGCUACACACGUGCUACAAUGGCCGGUACAGACGGACGCAAAGCCGCGAGGUGGAGCAAAUCCUAAAAAGCCGGUCUCAGUUCGGAUUGCAGGCUGCAAUUCGCCUGCAUGAAGUCGGAAUCGCUAGUAAUCGCAGGUCAGCAUACUGCGGUGAAUACGUUCCCGGGCCUU